AUACGGAGGGUGCAAGCGUUAAUCGGAAUUACUGGGCGUAAAGCGCGCGUAGGCGGAUUGUUAAGUCUCAUGUGAAAGCCCUGGGCUCAACCUGGGAACUGCAUGGGAUACUGGCAAUCUAGAAUACAGUAGAGGGUAGUGGAAUUUCAGGUGUAGCGGUGAAAUGCGUAGAGAUCUGAAGGAACAUCAGUGGCGAAGGCGACUACCUGGACUGAUAUUGAUGCUGAGGUGCGAAAGCGUGGGGAGCAAACGGGAUUAGAAACCCGAGUAGUCC
rnacentral:rRNA from 1 species